GCCGCCUUGGCGUAGUGGUAGCGCGUCCCACUUGUACAACUGCGAGCGAUCGCAGGGGUUUGAAAUGGGAAGGUCACUAGUUCAAUCCUGGUAGGUGGCA